AGCUUGCUGGGGUGGAUGAGUGGCGAACGGGUGAGUAAUACGUGAGUAACCUGCCCUUGACUCUGGGAUAAGCCUGGGAAACCGGGUCUAAUACUGGAUACGACGUCCUACCGCAUGGUGGGGCGUGGAAAGGGUUUUACUGGUUUUGGAUGGGCUCACGGCCUAUCAGCUUGUUGGUGGGGUAAUGGCCUACCAAGGCGACGACGGGUAGCCGGCCUGAGAGGGUGACCGGCCACACUGGGACUGAGACACGGCCCAGACUCCUACGGGAGGCAGCAGUGGGGAAUAUUGCACAAUGGGCGGAAGCCUGAUGCAGCGACGCCGCGUGAGGGAUGACGGCCUUCGGGUUGUAAACCUCUUUCAGCAGGGAAGAAGCCACAAGUGACGGUACCUGCAGAAGAAGCGCCGGCUAACUACGUGCCAGCAGCCGCGGUAAUACGUAGGGCGCAAGCGUUGUCCGGAAUUAUUGGGCGUAAAGAGCUCGUAGGCGGUUUGUCGCGUCUGCUGUGAAAGCCCGGGGCUCAACCCCGGGUCUGCACUGUGUACAGGGAGACUAUAGUGCACUAGGGGAGACUGUGAUUCUUGGUGUAUCGCGGA
rnacentral:rRNA from 1 species